UGGCGGCAUGCCUUACACAUGCAAGUCGAACGGCNGCNCGGGGGCAACCCUGGUGGCGAGUGGCGAACGGGUGAGUAAUACAUCGGAACGUGCCCUGAAGUGGGGGAUAACGUAGCGAAAGUUACGCUAAUACCGCAUAUUCUGUGAGCAGGAAAGCAGGGGAUCGCAAGACCUUGCGCUUUAGGAGCGGCCGAUGUCGGAUUAGCUAGUUGGUGAGGUAAAGGCUCACCAAGGCGACGAUCCGUAGCGGGUCUGAGAGGAUGAUCCGCCACACUGGGACUGAGACACGGCCCAGACUCCUACGGGAGGCAGCAGUGGGGAAUUUUGGACAAUGGGCGCAAGCCUGAUCCAGCCAUGCCGCGUGAGUGAAGAAGGCCUUCGGGUUGUAAAGCUC
rnacentral:rRNA from 1 species